GACGAACUGUGCAAACGUUAUUCGGAAUCACUGGGCUUGAAGAGUGCGUAGGCGGUUUCGUAAGUAGGGUGUGAAAGCCCCCAGCUCAACUGGGGAACUGCGUCCUAAACUGCGAGGCUGGAGUGAGGUAGGGGUGUGUGGAACUUCCGGUGGAGCGGUGAAAUGUGUUGAUAUCGGAAGGAACGCCGGUGGCGAAAGCGGCUCUCUGGACCGAUACUGACGCUGAGGCGCGAAAGCGUGGGGAGCAAACAGG
rnacentral:rRNA from 1 species